rnacentral:sRNA from 1 species
ACAUAUUUUACUAAGAGCUUGGUCACAUUUAUGGUUUUGACAUAGAUCCCCACACUAGUCUAUCUUGAUAAAUUUUCUCAAUUUUCUAUUAAUAAACUGAAAAUUUAUGUUACACUGUUUACUAUAUAAUUAACUUUAUGUUCAUUAACUUUUUCAUGUAUCUAGUCAAUUUUUUUUUCUCCUUCUCAAUUUGAUUUCUUUGUAGCUCCAGCUCAUUAACCUUCUUUGCCGAAUCCAUAACCUUAUUUUGAAGGUCUUUGAUCUGCAGCUCCAGAUCCUUUUUUUAUUUUUUCUGCUCAAGACGCUUCUUUUUGUCUUUGCGCAUUCUAGCUGAAUCUUCUGUCAACUCUUUGCUUACUCUCUUUUGGUUAACAGAAUUAUCAACUAACAAAUAUGAUUCCAAAAAGGUCCAAUGAAAAUAAAAUAAUUGAAAAAAUGCAUCAACAUUGGUAUGUCUUAAAUUUCAUUGGACAAAUUAAUUUCAUCAUACUCAUUUGCAAUAUAGAACUCGUUCAAAGAAAGAAAAUAAAUCACAAACUGAUUAUAAGGAUCUUCACAUAUUGUACAAAAUGUGUUUAUAACGCUUAAAUUCAAACGGGAAGGCACAUCAAUGGUGGAACUCUCUACAUUAACGCCUAUACACAAAUGCGGUAAUAUGAAUACUAAUUUAUACAUUUAGAUAAAUAAAUUUGAGUAAGAAAAUAUGUUAAACCAGUUUUAACUCGCAAGUAUAUU